rnacentral:rRNA from 1 species
GAUGAACGCUGGCGGCGUGCCUAAUACAUGCAAGUCGAGCGAACAGACGAGGAGCUUGCUCCUCUGACGUUAGCGGCGGACGGGUGAGUAACACGUGGAUAACCUACCUAUAAGACUGGGAUAACUUCGGGAAACCGGAGCUAAUACCGGAUAAUAUAUUGAACCGCAUGGUUCAAUAGUGAAAGACGGUUUUGCUGUCACUUAUAGAUGGAUCCGCGCCGCAUUAGCUAGUUGGUAAGGUAACGGCUUACCAAGGCAACGAUGCGUAGCCGACCUGAGAGGGUGAUCGGCCACACUGGAACUGGGACACGGUCCAGACUCCUACGGGAGGCAGCAGUAGGGAAUCUUCCACAAUGGGCGAAAGCCUGACGGAGCAACGCCGCGUGAGUGAUGAAGGUCUUCGGAUCGUAAAACUCCGUUAUUAGGGAAGAACAAAUGUGUAAGUAACUAUGCACGUCUUGACGGUACCUAAUCAGAAAGCCACGGCUAACUACGUG